GGGCGUGUAGCUCAGUGGAUUAGAGCGUCAGAUUCCGGUUCUGUAGGUCGGGGGUUCGAAUCCCUCCACGCUCG
rfam:Fischerella sp. JSC-11 ctg111, whole genome shotgun sequence.